rnacentral:lncRNA from 1 species
AGUGAAGGAAAGGAAAAAUAAAAACAAAGACAAAAGAGCAUUAGUAACUCCAGCACAAAUAGCGUAAAUAAUUAUCUAAACAUAAGAACCAUAAAUAAAAUAGCAUGCAAUAAUAUCAGACAUUAACUACCAUAAGGGAGACACAAUCCAAUACACAAAUCAUCUAUGGGGAGCCCUGCCCAGCCUCACCCAACCCUGUGUGAGGAGUACGAAAAACUCUAGGAGCCCCUAUCCUAC